rnacentral:lncRNA from 1 species
UCAUUGUAAGGAAUUCUUAACUUUGAUAUAAUUAAAUGUUUUUCGCUUUGUGUCUUAAAUUUUUAUUUAGGUUCUUCCCUAUUCCCAGACCACAGAGGUUUUCACUUUGAUUUUCUUUUCUUUUCCUUUUUUUUUUUUUUUUUUUUUUCAUAUAAUAGCCUACUUUUCUGAAUAUUAUACAAUCUUGCUGAGAUUUUUAUAUGGUUUCCUAUUGUUGUCUAGAAAUAUAUAUAUUUUUUGCAAUCUUUAUUUU